UACGAAGGGUGCAACCGUUGCUCGGAAUUAUUGGGCGUAAAGCGCACGUAGGCGGCUUAGCAAGUCGGAAGUGAAAUCCCUCGGCUCAACCAAGGAAGUGCUUUCGAAACUGCUGAGCUUGAGUACUAAAGAGGAUCGCGGAAUUCCCGGUGUAGAGGUGAAAUUCGUAGAUAUCGGGAGGAACACCAGUGGCGAAGGCGGCGAUCUGGGUAGAUACUGACGCUGAGGUGCGAAAGCGUGGGGAGCAAACAGG
rnacentral:rRNA from 1 species